rnacentral:rRNA from 1 species
CGCCUGUUUAUCAAAAACAUGUCCUUUUGUUAAUUAUUUAAGGUCUGGCCUGCUCAAUGAGUUGUUAAAUAGCCGCAGUAUUUUGACUGUGCAAAGGUAGCAUAAUCAUUAGUUUUUUAAUUGGAAGCUGGAAUGAAUGGUUGGAUGAGGAAGUGGCUGUCUCAUUUUAAUUUUGUUGAACUUUAUUUUUGAGUUAAAAAGCUUAAAUUUUAUAGAAAGACGAGAAGACCCUAUAGAGUUUGAUAAAUUUAUUGUCUGAUUUUUUUAGGUUUUUAUUUUUAAUUGGGUUUGACUUUAUUUUGUUGGGGUGAUGUGAAAAUUGGUUUAACUUUUCAUUAUUUUUACAUUGAUUUAUGAUUUAUUGAUCCUGAAGUUUUGGAUUUAAAGUAUAAAUUACCUUAGGGAUAACAGCGUAAUUCUUUUGGAGAGUUCUAAUCGAUAAGAGAGAUUGCGACCUCGAUGUUGGAUUAAAGUUAAUUUUUGGCGCAGAAGCUAGAAUUUUGAGUCUGUUCGACUUUUAAAACUUUACGUGAUCUGAGUUUAGACCGG